GGGCGUAAAGAGCUCGUAGGUGGUUUGUCGCGUCGUCUGUGAAAUCCCGGGGCUUAACUUCGGGCGUGCAGGCGAUACGGGCAUAACUUGAGUGCUGUAGGGGAGACUGGAAUUCCUGGUGUAGCGGUGAAAUGCGCAGAUAUCAGGAGGAACACCGAUGGCGAAGGCAGGUCUCUGGGCAGUAACUGACGCUGAGGAGCGAAAGCAUGGGUAGCGAACAGGAUUAGAUACCCUGGUAGUCCAUGCCGUAAACGGUGGGCGCUAGGUGUAGGGGGCUUCCACGUCUUCUGUGCCGUAGCUAACGCAUUAAGCGCCCCGCCUGGGGAGUACGGCCGCAAGGCUAAAACUCAAAGGAAUUGACGGGGGCCCGCACAAGCGGCGGAGCAAUGUGGAUUAAUUCGAUGCAACGCGAAGAACCUUUACCUGGGCUUGACAUGUACCGGAUCGGGCUAGAGAUAGUCUUUCCCUUGUGGUCGGUAUACAGGUGGUGCAUGGUUGUCGUCAGCUCGUGUCGUGAGAUGUUGGGUUAAGUCCCGCAACGAGCGCAACCCUUGUCUUAUGUUGCCAGCACGUUAUGGUGGGAACUCAUGAGAGACUGCCGGGGUUAACUCGGAGGAAGGUGGGGAUGACGUCAAAUCAUCAUGCCACUUAUGUCCAGGGCUUCACACAUGCUACAAUGGUCGAUACAAUGGGCAGCGACAUCGUGAGGUGAAGCGAAUCCCUGAAAGUCGGCCUUAGUUCGGAUUGGGGUCUGCAACUCGACCCCAUGAAGUCGGAGUCGCUAGUAAU
rnacentral:rRNA from 1 species